rnacentral:rRNA from 2 species
UAGAGUUUGAUCCUGGCUCAGGACGAACGCUGGCGGCGUGCCUAAUACAUGCAAGUCGAGCGGACAGAUGGGAGCUUGCUCCCUGAAGUCAGCGGCGGACGGGUGAGUAACACGUGGGCAACCUGCCUGUAAGACUGGGAUAACUCCGGGAAACCGGGGCUAAUACCGGAUAAUUUUUYCCUCACAUGAGGAAAGCUGAAAGAUGGUUUCGGCUAUCACUUACAGAUGGGCCCGCGGCGCAUUAGCUAGUUGGUGAGGUAACGGCUCACCAAGGCAACGAUGCGUAGCCGACCUGAGAGGGUGAUCGGCCACACUGGGACUGAGACACGGCCCAGACUCCUACGGGAGGCAGCAGUAGGGAAUCUUCCGCAAUGGACGAAAGUCUGACGGAGCAACGCCGCGUGAGUGAUGAAGGUUUUCGGAUCGUAAAACUCUGUUGUUAGGGAAGAACAAGUACCGGAGUAACUGCCGGUACCUUGACGGUACCUAACCAGAAAGCCACGGCUAACUACGUGCCAGCAGCCGCGGUAAUACGUAGGUGCAAGCGUUGUCCGGAAUUAUUGGGCGUAAAGCGCGCGCAGGCGGUUCCUUAAGUCUGAUGUGAAAGCCCCCGGCUCAACCGGGGAGGGUCAUUGGAAACUGGGGAACUUGAGUGCAGAAGAGAAGAGUGGAAUCCACGUGUAGCGGUGAAAUGCGUAGAGAUGUGGAGGAACACCAGUGGCGAAGGCGA